rnacentral:tRNA from 2 species
AUUUCUUUAGUAUAAUUGUACAUUUAACUUCCAAUUAAAAAGAUUGAUAUUUCAAAAGAAAUA